rnacentral:rRNA from 1 species
GAUUCCUACGGGAGGCAGCAGUGGGGAAUAUUGGACAAUGGGCGCAAGCCUGAUCCAGCAAUGCCGCGUGUGUGAAGAAGGCCUUCGGGUUGUAAAGCACUUUUAUCAGGAGCGAAAUCUGCUGGGUUAAUACCCGAGUAGUCUGACGGUACCUGAGGAAUAAGCACCGGCUAACUCCGUGCCAGCAGCUGCGGUAAUACGGAGGGUGCAAGCGUUAAUCGGAAUUACUGGGCGUAAAGGGUGCGUAGGCGGUUAUUUAAGUCUGUUGUGAAAUCCCCGGGCUCAACCUGGGAAUGGCAAUGGAUACUGGGUAGCUAGAGUGUGUCAGAGGAUGGUGGAAUUCCCGGUGUAGCGGUGAAAUGCGUAGAGAUCGGGAGGAACAUCAGUGGCGAAGGCGGCCAUCUGGGACAACACUGACGCUGAAGCACGAAAGCGUGGGGAGCAAACAGGAUUAGAUACCCUGGUAGUCCACGCCCUAAACGAUGCGAACUGGAUGUUGGUCUCAACUCGGAGAUCAGUGUCGAAGCUAACGCGUUAAGUUCGCCGCCUGGGGAGUACGGUCGCAAGACUGAAACUCAAAUGAAUUGACGGGG